AGGUUUUGCCCAUAUGGGCACCUUCAUAACUUGAAGCCGGGCUUUUCCAAGUCCGGCUUUUUUUUGCCUUGAA
rnacentral:sRNA from 1 species